rnacentral:sRNA from 1 species
CUUCAUCAAUUUGUUGAGGGCAGAUAAAGUGAAUGUGGGAAUCAAUACCACCCGCAGUAACGAUCAUUCCCUCACCAGCAAUGACUUCGGUACCCGGGCCAACCACAAUCGUAAUACCAGGUUGGAUGUCAGGAUUACCGGCUUUACCGAUACCACUAAUAAAACCAUUUUUAAUGCCGAUAUCCGCUUUGACGAUACCCCAAUGAUCAAUAAUCAAUGCAUUCGUAAUCACGGUAUCGACACAGUCUUUUGUUAAACGCUGGCUUUGACCCAUCCCAUCUCGAAUG